UAUAUUUUAAUGUAAGGGGCAUAUAAAUUUUUGAAAUUUAAAGUAAUAGUUUAAUUCUAUUUAAUAUAA
rnacentral:tRNA from 1 species